GGCGCUAUGGUGUAGCGGUAGCACGUGGGAUUCUGAUGUAUCGUCCUUCCCACAACCCAGGUUCGAUCCCUGGUAGUGCCU